rnacentral:rRNA from 1 species
AUGACGCGAGGGCGGGUGAACGACGACGGCGUGGCGAACCACUACAUCGAUUGGGAGAGAAGAGGCCUGGUGCAAGACAAUAGGCAAGAAUAUAACAAGUUUCAAGAGCACGGCAUCUUCUAUCUUGGAUCCAGAUUCAACAUGGGGAAUGGGAGGACAACUACAGGUGGAGAGCAGAUUUGUUGGCAAGAUCCAAUUUUCUGGUGUAACCUAGUAUGGUAUCAUGCUUUUGCCCAAGAAAAAAUUAGAAAAAAUGAUGAAGAAUCCUGUGUUUUUACCUUGGUGUUUUUGAAGGGAGAAAAAUUUGCCCAGUUUCUGGUGGUAUUCUUGCCGGAGUUGUCUCAGAGUUUUGCCUAA